GUGCCUAUGGGGCGCAGCAGUGGGGAAUAUUGCACAAUGGGGGAAACCCUGAAGCAGCAACGCCGCGUGGAGGAUGAAGGUUUUCGGAUUGUAAACUCCUCUUGUUAGAGAAGAUAAUGACGGUAUCUAACGACUAAGCACCGGCUACCUCCGUGCCAGCAGCCGCGGUAAUACGGAGGGUGCAAGCGUUACUCGGAAUCACUGGGCGUACCGAGCGCGUAGGCGGGAUAGCAAGUCAGAUGUGAAAUCCUAUGGCUUAACCCU
rnacentral:rRNA from 1 species